ACGCUCGACACCUACGGGGGCAGCAGUAGGGAAUUUUCGGCAAUGGGGGGAACCCUGACCGAGCAACGCCGCGUGAAGGAAGAAGGAAUUCGUUCUGUAAACUUCUGUUAUAAAGGAAGAACGGCGGAUAUAGGGAAUGAUAUCCGAGUGACGGUACUUUAUGAGAAAGCCACGGCUAACUACGUGUCAGCAGCCGCGGUAAUCUGAGCGGGCUGGCAAGGC
rnacentral:rRNA from 1 species